rnacentral:rRNA from 1 species
ACGAACGCUGGCGGCGUGCUUAACACAUGCAAGUCGAACGCUGAAGCUUGGUGCUUGCCCUGGGUGGAUGAGUGGCGAACGGGUGAGUAAUAAGUGAGUAACCUGCCCUUGACUCUGGGAUAAGCCUGGGAAACUGGGUCUAAUACUGGAUACGACAUGUCACCGCAUGGUGGUGUGUGGAAAGGGUUUUACUGGUUUUGGAUGGGCUCACGGCCUAUCAGCUUGUUGGUGGGGUAAUGGCUCACCAAGGCGACGACGGGUAGCCGGCCUGAGAGGGUGACCGGCCACACUGGGACUGAGACACGGCCCAGACUCCUACGGGAGGCAGCAGUGGGGAAUAUUGCACAAUGGGCGGAAGCCUGAUGCAGCGACGCCGCGUGAGGGAUGACGGCCUUCGGGUUGUAAACCUCUUUCAGCACGGAAGAAGCGAAAGUGACGGUACGUGCAGAAGAAGCGCCGGCUAACUACGUG